ACUAAAGCGGGUAGGAUGCGGAUCCAGCUGCCUACCCGAUUACUUGAGCGGACCUCUCGAUCCUCAUCGAUCGUUCUUCCUCGUCCUCUUCGGCUUCGCGUCUCCCCUUCGAUGGCUUGGUUGCUCUCUGCCAGAACCGUAGCCGGAGCCUCGCCCAGCCUCACUACUGCCGCCCGCCCUUUCAGCCUUCGUCGCCUCUCCGGCCGUCCCGACGAGAAGGUAGACCUCGUCCAGCCGGAGAUCGAGGCGGAGGAUCCCUCCUCGGAGAUCGAGGUCUUCGGGAUGCUACGCCUCGAGGAAGCCAUACACACCAUGAUAGUUCGCAGAUCCGCUCCCGAUUGGCUGCCCUUCAUCCCUGGCUCCUCCUACUGGGUUCCGCGCCGCGGGCGCCCCCCUGGUGUCGUCGAGCUCGUCAGCAAGUUCACCAAUCCGAUGACAGUGGACGAGAUCUUGUCGUUCACUAUCGAUCCUGUCUUGUCUCCCUCCGCUUAUUUCGUGGAAGGCAUUUAUUUAUUUUUAUCUACAUGACUGUAUCGAUGGCCCCAUCUCUCACCUCCAAAGCUUUCCGAUUGACCAGUUAACCUUGUAUGAGCUAACUCUGAAGCUUAAGCCGGCCAAUGAAAUGGAAGCCAAAGUUAACAAACUCAGGUACAGCUCCGCAACCAAUGAGGAAGAUCGAAGGGAGGACCAAGGUGUUCUCUGAUGAUGAAAAAAGCUGAACGUCACCCAACAGGCUUUCGCUGAGGUUAUUUUUUUGUUGCUUGUACGAGGAGUACAACGAACAAAGAAACCAGGAUAGAACUCAAUCGAACUGAAUUCUUCUGCGAGUGUGAAUUUAUGUGAGUGCCAUCUUCGACAUCUCUAAGCCCAAACUUAAUGAAUAUUAGUGCUAGUGAAUUUGUUAUCGGGAUUGCUGAAUCUGUGUACUAAUAUGCUGGCUCUUUCACACGGCGACUUAAAUGCCAAGCAUUCUAUCUCCUUGUACACAUGGGUCGGGAGAUUGCAGCCGUUGGCUUUCAGUCCGCCAAUGCAAACUAGUCCUACCUUCUCGUCCUGCCCCCAGGCAUUCAGAUGUUGAAACUUUGGUAAAACUUUGUUCAUAAUGUGAUCGAUAAUGAUCUGAUCCACUCAUGGUCAUAUCUAUUCCAUAAUGAAAAUGAUAAAAUUGGCAUGUGAAAA